rnacentral:rRNA from 1 species
GACGAACGCUUUCGGCGUGCCUAAUACAUGCAAGUCGAGCGAGCGGAACUAACAGAUUUACUUCGGUAAUGACGUUAGGAAAGCGAGCGGCGGAUGGGUGAGUAACACGUGGGGAACCUGCCCCAUAGUCUGGGAUACCACUUGGAAACAGGUGCUAAUACCGGAUAAGAAAGCAGAUCGCAUGAUCAGCUUUUAAAAGGCGGCGUAAGCUGUCGCUAUGGGAUGGCCCCGCGGUGCAUUAGCUAGUUGGUAAGGUAAAGGCUUACCAAGGCGAUGAUGCAUAGCCGAGUUGAGAGACUGAUCGGCCACAUUGGGACUGAGACACGGCCCAAACUCCUACGGGAGGCAGCAGUAGGGAAUCUUCCACAAUGGACGCAAGUCUGAUGGAGCAACGCCGCGUGAGUGAAGAAGGUUUUCGGAUCGUAAAGCUCUGUUGUUGGUGAAGAAGGAUAGAGGUAGUAACUGGCCUUUAUUUGACGGUAAUCAACCAGAAAGUCACGGCUAACUACGUGCCAGCAGCCGCGGUAAUACGUAGGUGGCAAGCGUUGUCCGGAUUUAUUGGGCGUAAAGCGAGCGCAGGCGGAAGAAUAAGUCUGGUGUGAAAGCCCUCGGCUUAACCGAGGAACUGCAUCGGAAACUGUUUUUCUUGAGUGCAGAAGAGGAGAGUGGAACUCCAUGUGUAGCGGUGGAAUGCGUAGAUAUAUGGAAGAACACCAGUGGCGAAGGCGGCUCUCUGGUCUGCAACUGACGCUGAGGCUCGAAAGCAUGGGUAGCGAACAGGAUUAGAUACCCUGGUAGUCCAUGCCGUAAACGAUGAGUGCUAAGUGUUGGGAGGUUUCCGCCUCUCAGUGCUGCAGCUAACGCAUUAAGCACUCCGCCUGGGGAGUACGACCGCAAGGUUGAAACUCAAAGGAAUUGACGGGGGCCCGCACAAGCGGUGGAGCAUGUGGUUUAAUUCGAAGCAACGCGAAGAACCUUACCAGGUCUUGACAUCUAGUGCCAUUUGUAGAGAUACAAAGUUCCCUUCGGGGACGCUAAGACAGGUGGUGCAUGGCUGUCGUCAGCUCGUGUCGUGAGAUGUUGGGUUAAGUCCCGCAACGAGCGCAACCCUUGUUAUUAGUUGCCAGCAUUAAGUUGGGCACUCUAAUGAGACUGCCGGUGACAAACCGGAGGAAGGUGGGAUGACGUCAAGUCAUCAUGCCCCUUAUGACCUGGGCUACACACGUGCUACAAUGGGCAGUACAACGAGAAGCGAGCCUGCGAAGGCAAGCGAAUCUCUGAAAGCUGUUUUCAGUUCGGACUGCAGUCUGCAACUCGACUGCACGAAGCUGGAAUCGCUAGUAAUCGCGGAUCAGCACGCCGCGGUGAAUACGUUCCCGGGCCU